UACGUAGGGUGCGAGCGUUGCCCGGAAUUAUUGGGCGUAAAGAGCUUGUAGGUGGCUCGUUGCGUCGGGAGUGAAAACCUGCGGCUUAACUGCAGGCCUGCUUCCGAUACGGGCGAGCUAGAGUUCGGCAGGGGAGACUGGAAUUCCUGGUGUAGCGGUGGAAUGCGCAGAUAUCAGGAGGAACACCGGUGGCGAAGGCGGGUCUCUGGGCCGAUACUGACACUGAGAAGCGAAAGCGUGGGGAGCGAACAGG
rnacentral:rRNA from 1 species